GAAGCCAACCGUCCUCGGUUUCCUGGCCUGUGGCAUCAGUCUGGUUGGAUUACACACAAAGCCCUGCAGAUCUGCUGCUUUUCCUGAUUCUCCUGUCCUGAGUGAGUGCAAGGGGCUCCCCUGUCGCCGAUGCGUUCUUUGAAGCAGAUGCUGCGCCUGAUACCUGCUGGAGAGUCCCACCGCCUUGAGCCUCUGGGUCGAGAAAGGCCACGUUGCACACUACUGAGAGACUGCCAUGCACCCCCUGGAGGCCUCAAAAUAUUUGACAUGCUCCAGUCAUGGCCACGGCAGUGACUGCUGAUUGCCUAACCCCACAUGUGUUCUCCCCUUUCCCUGAUAAUCAAGCCCCUGAUUUUCAACUGGGCACAAAAUAAUUCUUCCCAGAACAACUCCACGUGUGUUAUCGCCCUUGCAGCUGGGGGUGGCUACCACCAGGGAGAGGCAGGGUGAAGAGGUGGAAGGAGCCUGGGUUAGCAGGGAUGAGCAGUGGCUAGGUAACCCCAGACUCACUAUCCUCUGGAUUUCUUUUAUGUGAAACAAUAAAAUGUCUUAUAUUUGA
rnacentral:lncRNA from 1 species